rnacentral:snRNA from 1 species
UAGAGUGUGGAUGAUGUAAAUCGUGUCUC